UUUUAGCCCCGAUGGUAACGGCAUCCUUUUUUCCUGUUCUUUACAGGGAAAAAGAUAGAGUGAACAGCGGGAAAUAGC
rnacentral:sRNA from 1 species